AGACGGAAUUGAGAAGUGGAAUGAGGAGAGCUCUGAAAAUACCCGAGAAGAGACAGCUCACAGGAUAAGGCAUCCUGACAGAUAUGAAGAGUAAUGGGGAAACAGUCUUACAGCAAAAACCAGGGGUGCAAGGGCAGGGAGGAAACUUCAUCGCGUGUUUACACAGAAGAGCUGAUAUGUUACAGACCAUGUGCAGACAUGAUUUUAAGAAGUAGCCAGUGAUUCUGGGUGCCACAUGGAAGAGCUGACAGCCUGAGACACCUUCAAGUGAUUUGACUGUUUCAGUUUUGGAAAAUGAGACACCCGUAAGGCCUCUCAGGUUUAAUGUGCAUAGCCCCCUCUGAAUUGCCACAACCAGAGCCAGCCUAAUGCUGUUUUCCUGAAAACCUUGGUCCCCAUUUAUGAAGAACAUGUUGUUAUUUUGUGUCCUGAGGACCUGGUCUGAGGAGCUGAUGCAGAAUCAGGAAUUCCAAAUCGGAUGACAUUAUAAAGGUGUGCUGCAGACAAAUUUCGAUGUAAACAGGAUCUAGAAGAGAUUUGAUGAGAUUGUGAAAAAAUGAAGAUGGGAUGUAGAUUCAUUAAUAAAACGGCCUGUGGCUAGUGAAUGUAGAGCCUGAUUGACCACAAUUACUGCAGUUCGUAACUGGAAAACCAGAUGUCGGAGGACAUGCACAAGGAGCUCCUUAUCAAGCUCAGUUCCUAGCCACCUGUCAAAGGCUCUGCCUCCUACCCUUGGAUUUGCUCAAUCUUUUCUUCUCCUUUGAUAGGAUGUCCCCUGGUGACACUUAACUUACCCAACCGGUCCUCCCAGGGAGCUGGAUGACUUUCAAAACCUUUCUGUUGAUCACUUCACAGAACUUGAAGCUCAUGGCUACUUGCAUAACAAGGGAUGCAAUCUAGUGGAGGUAACAAACCCCUUCCUCUGUCCCCACCAUAUCCAGGUGGGUCACUCCCAAACAUGACAAACUGGUGACAGCUGUGUGCAGGACCUCCCAGAAGUUGAACCAGCUGCAAUAAGGAAUGAAGAUUCAAAGCAGGAAGAGUGAACAGAGGUUGGAGGAAUGUGGUAGAAAAGCCACCCCAGAAUUAAGCUAUUGCUGCCCAGGUGUUUGCUAUUCUUACUAAUCAAAAUCACCCAGAACCCGAUGGUUCUCUGCUAAUGAUGACCUCCAGGACAGGGCUAUGUGUUAAAACUGAUCAUUCUAAGUAGCCUUGAUAAAUGUAUUGCUGCUAGAGGACAGGAAUAUGUCUUAGACAAGGCCAGAUGUCCUGUUACAUUGCAGGACAUAAUCUUAGCUUGUGUAGUGGCCAUCUAUCACAUUUUGAUUGCACAAAACAUGCUGGACC